rnacentral:rRNA from 1 species
GCAGGUGGCAAGCGUUGUCCGGAAUUAUUGGGCGUAAAGCGCGCGCAGGUGGUUCUUUAAGUCUGAUGUGAAAGCCCCCGGCUCAACCGGGGAGGGUCAUUGGAAACUGGGGAACUUGAGUGCAGGAGAGGAAAGUGGAAUUCCACGUGUAGCGGUGAAAUGCGUAGAUAUGUGGAGGAACACCAGUGGCGAAGGCGACUUUCUGGCCUGUAACUGACACUGAGGCGCGAAAGCGUGGGGAGCAAACAGGAUUAGAUACCCUGGUAGUCCACGCCGUAAACGAUGAGUGCUAAGUGUUGGGGGGGUUUUCCGGCCCCCCCUCAGUGCUGCAGCUAACGCAUUAAGCACUCCGCCUGGGAGUACGGUCGCAAGACUG